rnacentral:rRNA from 1 species
GACAGAGGUGCCGAGCGUUAGGCGGAAUCACUGGGCUUAAAGCGUGUGUAGGCGGAUCUGUAAGUACCUUGUGAAAUCCCACGGCUCAACCGUGGAACUGCUUGGCAUACUGCGGGUCUUGAGCCACCUAGGGGCAAGUGGAACAAACGGUGGAGCGGUGAAAUGCGUAGAUAUCGUUUGGAACGCCAAUGGUGAAAACAACUUGCUGGGGGUGUGCUGACGCUGAGACACGAAAGCCAGGGGAGCAAACGGG